GUACCUUCUAGUUAUUCUACUGUUACAGGUAAUAAUUCAUUUAGCAUAUUGUACUUGCAUAUGAAGCGUUUAUUUAAGAACUACUUCUCUAGAAGAAGAACAGUUCUUAAUAGGUUCUACCUUUUCAAUUAUGUCGAUUCUUGUCAGCGACCUUUUAGGAAUACCGUUCAGAUGGAACUUAUGAUUAAGCAUUUCAGACAUAAGUGGUCUGGAUGUUACUGAAAUUUGACUGAGUAGGAAACUUUUGUGCUUUUCCUCAGGGUGGCUCUAUUUGUGGUUUAUUUUCCUGUUUUAAGGCUUUAUUAAAUUGUACCUUUUCUUUUUUAAUCAAUUUGUAUAUUAGUGGGCAAUUUCUUUGACUUACAUGGCAAUUGGCAUUGACAUGCAAAAGUGAUUUUUCUGAAAUUCCAUUUGAAUCAUGGUUUCUCGCAUACAAUUUUCUUACUGUUUGCAACAAUUGCAUUGAAUUGAAUGAGAUACCUGCAUUUGCUUUUGGAAUUAUAAUCCGUAUGCAAGCACGUAACUUAUGCUGUAAAAUAUUAUUGGUUUCUGUACUGAUUUUUUUUCAUAUCAUCACUUAAUCGGUUUGGAAACUAUGAUGGGCAUAGACAAUGGACUUAGAUUUUAAGGGAGUGCACUGCCACUGUGCACUGAAAAUUUUUGAAAGAUGAAAAAUUGAAGGCAAAUGUUGUUGCAAAAUGUUGUAUCUCUAAUUUUUAAUUAACUGUAUUGCGCAGAUUAUUAUAACUAUGACAUGUUUGGAUAUAAAGUCACAUGAAGUAGUAUUGCAUAUUUUAUAAUUAGCCUACCUAUUACUUGUUUCUUUUUCUUUUACUCCUUUUGGUUAAAAUUCAACUCAACUCAACUCAACU
rnacentral:misc_RNA from 1 species